AAGCUGAUGGAGAACCACCCGGCUGUCUGUUCUACCAUUUGGUCAGGUCAACUGUGAUGACAUAUUUCUUUGUUUUAUGGUUAAACUGUGGUGGUCCUCUUCAGAAAGCCACUGUUAUACUACUAGAAUAUCAUUUGCAUGAGAAGAGGUGAUAGAGUGGAA
rnacentral:lncRNA from 1 species